UCAGUAUCAUUAUUAAGAAAUGAAUGUCACACCACUCACCAAUAUAUUUCGUGAUCCACAAACAAAUGUAAUAACAUUCGCAAAUAUAAUUCAUACAUUUCAUGAUCCACAAACAAAUGUAACAACAUUCACAAAUAUAAUUCAUGAUGCACAAAUGAAUGUAACCCCAUUCACAAAUGCCAGCGCAGUUCUAUUAAUUUGCAAACCGGUCUACAUAUAUUCGCAAGCCCUAUACAUAUUUGUGACUUCCAUUGUAUUUGUGUGUGGAUUUUUGAGACUGUCCUGACGGUAUUUGACACACAAAUGUGCUCAGCCAAUCAAAUCAGCCGGCGUUCGAGCGUAAGGUUGAAGACAUUGCGCUUCUAUUACGCAGAGCAGGCUACUAGUGCGAAGCCACCAUAGAUCUGUAUAAAUAACUGGAAGUAGAGCCAUUACUGAAGUGCUCCCUGACGUAAACUCGGAAGCGUAUGAAGUUACUGACUUUCACAUCAUCUUUGUACAAAUAUGUCUGGAUCUGGACUAACGUGUGCCGUAAUCGGAUGUAACAAUAACAGCAGAAAGCUAAAAAUGUGGAAAAAGAGCGUAUGUGCGCUUCAUAGUCCACAGUUUAAAGAGGAUUGUCCAUGUUGUGUGCCCUACGGUGUACACCGCUUCCCCGGCCGUGCUGAGGAUGAAGACAUUCGCAAGAUGUGGAUUAAAAACGUACACCGAAAGGACUUUGCCCCCAAACAAGUAUUCAAGGGUGUGUGGAGUACACUUCCCUGACGGCAGACCAACGCAGGAACACCCAUAUCCCAUAAUAUGGGAUAUGAAUAUAGUAAAGCACCGUCAUGUGGAAGACCACCCCAAAGAGGAGAUGUCUCCAGCCCCCAACAGAGAGACCAUGUGAUGAGCCUCCUGUGACAGAUUCUGACACCGAAGUAGGGCAUAGCUUGGAGGAUAGUCUGUCUCCACACCAAUGUGAUGUUGGCACUCAGUGGCCAGAGCGUAGUGAUCAUGAUUGUUGUUCGAUGAAGUCAACAAAAGAUGCAAGCACACAAACCGAUCCUACACCAUCACUGUCAGAUCAUGACAUGGAUGAUAAAGUGUCAAAACUUUACACUGGACUAGACAUCAUCAGCUUUUGGCAACUUUUGAACACCAUCAUUGGCUUUCUUCCACAGUCGAAGACGUUCAAAUUACCAGUCCAUGAACAGCUAAGUGCUGGUCCUAAUGAGGCUUCGGCUUGGCUACAGCCUGUGAUAUGUCCGCAAUGUGGAGAGCAACACUUGCCAAUUUCACAAGGGAAAAUCUUAUUUUUUGGCUCCCUCGAGACACUCUGAAUAGAGUAAGACCCUCAAGUUUUCUUGAACACUAUCCCAAUGCAACAUGCAUCAUAGAUUGCACUGAAAUAUUUGUCCAAAGACCGAAGAACUUGGGGAAAAGAGCAAAAACAUACAGCAACUAUAAGCAUCACAACACCUACAAAGUCCUCUAUUGCAUAGCCCCCAAUGGUUUUGUGAUGUAUGUGUCAAAACUGUUUGGUGGCAGAGCUAGUGACACUUUUAUCUUAAACUGUGGAUUUCUGGUGAUCAGAUUUUGACAGACCGGGGAUUCACAAUUGGAGAUGUUCUUCCUCCAGGAGUGACAUUGGCUAUUCCAGCAUUUACACGUGGAUGUACACAACUAUCAGAACAUGAAGUCACAAGAACCCGCCGUCUCGCCAAUGUCCGAAUUCAUGUUGAACGUGCAAUAAGAAGGUUAAAAUGCUUCAAAAUUUUGAGUAAUGUAAUUCCAGGUUGAUUAAAACAUGUUGAUGACAUUUUGA